rnacentral:rRNA from 1 species
CCCUGCCAUUUGUACACACCGCCCGUCGCUCCUACCGAUUGGGUGAUUUAGCGAGUUCUUCGGAUCGCGGCAAUGGUCUCCUUGUGAGGUCCGGCGCUGCGAGAAGUUGUGCAAGCUUGAUUAUCUAGAGGAAG